CUACGGGGCGCUCCAGUGAGGAAUAUUGCACAAUGGGGGAAACCCUGAUGCAGCAACGCCGCGUGGAGGAUGACGCAUUUCGGUGUGUAAACUCCUUUUAUCAGAGAAGAAAAUGACGGUAUCUGAUGAAUAAGCUCCGGCUAACUCCGUGCCAGCAGCCGCGGUAAUACGGAGGGAGCAAGCGUUAUUCGGAAUCACUGGGCGUAAAGGACGCGUAGGCGGGUUUUUAAGUCAGGUGUGAAAUCCUAUGGCUCAACCAUAGAACUGCACUUGAAACUGGGGACCUAGAGUAUGGAAGGGGCAGGUGGAAUUAGUGGUGUAGGGGUAAAAUCCGUAGAUAUCACUAGGAAUACCGAAAGCGAAGGCGACCUGUUGGGACAUUACUGACGCUGAGGCGUGAAAGCGUGGGGAGCAAACAGGAUUAGAUACCCUGGUAGUC
rnacentral:rRNA from 1 species